AGUGGCCACCGCAGGAUUCCUGGGUGCAGCUGAGACAGCUGGGGCGGGGCGUGCUGGGCUCACACUGAGUUCAACUCUCCAAAUAGCCCUCGCGCCACUGUCCAGAACAGACGAUAAGAAUUUCACAGGACUUUCGUCUGGAAGUUUGCGGUUGACAAUGCGUUUUUACCUACAUGAUCACAGUAACUUUCCCAGCAAGGCUGUUAGCUAAAGAAGGUGCCCUCCCCGCCCUGGAGCCUGAGAGAGGACGAGCUGCAGCCUUGUCCAAGAGAAAGGCCCGGGGGACCCAGCCAUCCACCUCCCUGCCCACCACCACCCUUCCUUCCAAGGAGCACGCAAGACCAAGCCUAGGACUCGCUACAAAGCUCGGUUCCUAACUAGACCGGCGGGGACUGACUAGGAAUGGAAUCCAGGCAAACACCUGGCCGAUCAUAAUCAGAUGUUACUAAAUAUUCAUAAGGAUUACAAUCAGCACCUAGCACAGUGUCUGGGACAUGGCAAGUGCUCAAUAUUUAUGGAAGAAAAGAGUGAAUAAAUCAAGAAAUCGUCAUUAAACACCAAAAUUGUGUUUAACAGAACCAAACAGCGCCACGCACUUGUGACCCUGACCUGAAGCUUCUGGUCGAGAAGGCCCUUGAACUCCCAGGCCCUCCCUGUAAGCAGGUUGGGCAGUGCAGAGGGCACAGGGCACAGGGCGGAGCCACAGGGAAAGAUGAGCAGGGUGCUACCCACAGGAAGGUGCCCUCCCGAUCCCCCCACAGCCUCUGCCCCCUGUAAACACAGUGGCCUGUCUUCUCUGGGCCUCUUCCCUUUUCUCUGCAUCCUGCCCUCUAUUUUCUUCUCACUAACACAGAAUGGAACAUUUAUUUUGUUUGUUACAUGAUCUUGGUAAAUACUUGUUUGAUUGUAAAUAAAAGGUGAAUGAGUA
rnacentral:lncRNA from 1 species